rnacentral:rRNA from 1 species
AACCUACCCUCGGGACGGGAAUAACCUCGGGAAACCGAGGCUAACUCCAGAUAGGUGUGGAGCCCUGGAAUGGCUCCACGCCCAAAGACGAGCGCGCCCAUUCGCGCGCGAGUGCCCAAGGAUGGGGCUGCGGCCGAUCAGGCUGUUGGUGAGGCAAUGGCUCACCAAACCUUUGACCGGUACGGGCCGUGAGAGCGGUAGCCCGGAGGUGGGCACUGAGACAAAGGCCCAGCCCUACGGGGCGCACAGCGCGAAAACUUCACAAUGCACGCAAGCGCGAUGGGGUUACCUCGAGUGCCGUCUGAAGAAGGCGGCUUUUCCACAGUGUAAUGAUCUGUGGGAAUAAAGGGGGGCAAGACUGGUGUCAGCCGCCGCGGUAACACCAGCCCCUCGAGUGGUGGGGACGUUUAUUUGGCCUAAAGCGUCCGUACCGGCUCGUCAGGUCCCCCGUUAAAUCCGGCGUCCCAAGCGCUGGACUGCGGGGGAUACUGUCGAGCUAGAGGGUGGGAGAGGUCAGCGGUAUUCCCGGGGUAGGGCGAAAUCCUUUGAUCCCGGGAGGACCACCAUGGGAAGGCUGCUGGCUAGAAACACGCCUGACGGUGAGGGACGGAAAGCUGGGGGAGCGAAUCGGGAUUAGAUACCCCGAGUUAGUCCAAGCCGUAAACGAUGCAG